rnacentral:rRNA from 1 species
CUGGCGGUAUGCUUACACAUGCAAGUCGAACGGAAUCCUUAGGGAUUUAGUGGCGGACGGGUGAGUAACGCGUAAGAAUCUACCUUCAGGUUGGGGACAACCACUGGAAACGGUGGCUAAUACCGAAUGUGCCGAGAGGUGAAAGGCUUGCUGCCUGAAGAAGAGCUUGCGUCUGAUUAGCUAGUUGGUGUGGUAAAGGCGCACCAAGGCGACGAUCAGUAGCUGGUCUGAGAGGAUGAUCAGCCACACUGGGACUGAGACACGGCCCAGACUCCUACGGGAGGCAGCAGUGGGGAAUUUUCCGCAAUGGGCGAAAGCCUGACGGAGCAAUACCGCGUGAGGGAGGAAGGCUCUUGGGUUGUAAACCUCUUUUCUCAGGGAAGAAAAAAAUGACGGUACCUGAGGAAUAAGCAUCGGCUAACUCCGUGCCAGCAGCCGCGGUAAUACGGAGGAUGCAAGCGUUAUCCGGAAUGAUUGGGCGUAAAGGGUCCGCAGGUGGCAUUGUUUGUCUGCUGUUAAAGAGUCUGGCUCAACCAGAUCAAAGCAGUGGAAACUACAAAGCUAGAGUAUGGUCGGGGCAGAGGGAAUUCCUGGUGUAGCGGUGAGAUGCGUAGAUAUCAGGAAGAACACCGGUGGCGAAGGCGCUCUGCUAGGCCAAAACUGACACUGAGGGACGAAAGCUAGGGGAGCGAAUGGGAUUAGAUACCCCAGUAGUCCUAGCCGUAAACGAUGGGAUACUAGGCGUAGCUCGUAUCGACCCCGAGCUGUGCCGUAGCUAACGCGUUAAGUAUCCCGCCUGGGGAGUACGCAGG